AUUCUGGUAUGAUAACUGGUUUA
rnacentral:snRNA from 1 species